UCUGACAACUGAAAAGAUUUUUUAAAUUUAAUUAAAAAUAUACAGUAAGUACUUAACGUAUUUUCUUUGUUAGGCAAAAAAAAGAGCAAGUACCAGAUGGUCGAAAUUCGAAUAAGAACCGCGGUUACUCUUUUGGUUGACAACUUUGACAGGGUAUUCCACACGACAUGCGUCAACGUCUGGUGCCAAAAGGAGUUCAUGUGGAAACUAUUAUGAAGACUGCACGGUGGUCGUCGAAAUCACCGGAUUUUUCCAACUUGAAACCCAAACAAUUGUCCUCUGGUGGAUUCUACUGUUUUUGCAAGAACAAUCUUUAGCUGUAUUAAAUGAAAAUGUAUAAUUUGUUUUUAUAAGAGACAUUUUUAAAUGUUUCUCUUAAGGCCUCCUUUUGUUUCAUUUUUUAGCAAAGAGCAACAAUAAAUAUUACAUAUAUACUGUU